ensembl:lncRNA
GACAAAACAGCGAGAUUCGGGAAGUGUCCGACUUCAAAGGUCUUUUUUGACCCCUCCCCUUACUGCAGCUGCCUACUCUCACCUACAUUUCCAACACAGCAAGGCGCAUCUCAAACAAGCCUUUUGUUUUCCUCGCGCAGAAGUGAUUAACCGCGCGCGCAAGCAUCAGUUGUACGCUCGGUUAUUAAUGGCAGUGAAAUGCCGCCAUAGUGAUGUGGGUUCACUGUGUGUGAGAGAGAACAUGAUCUUUACGCUAUUUAUAUGUUACAGUGUCUUAAUGAUUGUAACUGAAGGAGCAUCAGUGAAAGUUCAUCCAGGAGGAAACACAACACUUCCCUGUAGCAUUAAAAAUGAUACAGAGAUUAACUGGAUCAUUACGAAUGGAAACCAAACAUUUGUAAGAAUUCUGAAACUAGAAUAUCUUUAUGGAGGUAAAUUUAAACCAGAGCCCUCCAUUAUUCACCCCAGUUAUGCAGGUCGGAUAACAGCACUCAUUUCUCCCAUAAACACUCACUCUCUGCUUCUGAUGAACAUCUCUGACACUGAUCUCAUGCUCUACUGCUGCAUGGACUUCACACUUGAACAAUCUCACUGCACAAAGCUGGACUAUCAAGGUUGUGGAAAAACUAAUAACCUGAACCAGGACUGGAUUCACAAUAGUGUUAAGGGUAAAAUGGGACAAGAUGAUUGGACACUGGUUGAAGUUUUGUAUACACCGAUACCUUAAUUGAUUAUUUCAAAAUUCUUUUAUUCACUUAUCUUCACCUUUUGUCUUUAAUACAAUGUGUCUCUUUGAUAAUCAGAGUAGUUUUAUAACCCCUGUUUUCAGAUGUACUUCAAUGUGCAGAUGCAGAUGUGCAGAUUGCUAUGAAUUGUAACACUUAACUGUUUAUGUCAAUGCUUUAUGUCAAUACUUUAAAUAUCUAACUUAUGUACAUGAAUAAUGACAAUACUUGCAAUGGCCUAUACUGUUGCAUUUUAUUGUGACUAUAAGGUAUCAAAAAGCUCCUCUCUCACAGCAGCCUUUUCACAGUGUUUCCUGUCUCUGAUUGUAGACUAAAUUUAGCUCUUGUGCCAGCAAUUACAAAAGCAAGUCGUCUCACACACAAUGAACAGAGACACUCUUUUUAGAGAAAUACUUCUAAUAAAUUGAUAGCAGAAUUGAAAUAAAGAUUUAAGAAGCUUUAUUUUUGGAUGCAUUUUCUUAUGGGUGUUUGAAGCAGUGACUUUGGUGGACAUGUCCUAAACUUUUUAUGUUAGACAUUAUGUUCAGUAACUGUUAACUACAUCCUGUUUUUCACUGCUGAUGAUGGUUGUUUAUGACCACAUAUAGCACUUUACCACAAUGAACCACUAAUGGGUGAAAUGAG